CCUACGGGCGGCAGCAGUGAGGAAUAUUUGUCAAUGGACGAGAGUCUGAACCAGCCAAGUAGCGUGAAGGAUGACUGCCCUAUGGAUUGUACACUUCUUUUAUAUGGGAAUAAAACGUUCCACGUGUGGGAUUUUGUAUGUACCAUAUGAAUAAGGAUCGGCUAACUCCGUGCCAGCAGCCGCGGUAAUACGGAGGAUCCGAACGUUAUCCGGGUUUAUUGGGUUUAAAGGGAUCGUAGGUGGAUUGUUAAGUCAGUGGGGAAAGUUUGCGGCCCAACCGUAAAAUUGCAGUUGAAACUGGCAGUCUUGAGUACAGUAGAGGUGGGCGGAAUUCGUGGUGUAGCGGUGAAAUGCUUAGAUAUCACGAAGAACUCCGAUUGCGAAGGCAGUUCACUGGACUGCAACUGACACUGAGGCUCGAAAGUGUGGGUAUCAAACAGGAUUAGAUACCCCUGUAGUC
rnacentral:rRNA from 1 species